GUUAAGUCCCGCAACGAGCGNAACCCCUAUCGUUAGUUGCCAGCAUUCAGUUGGGCACUCUAGCGAGACUGCCGGUGAUAAGCCGGAGGAAGCGGGGAUGACGUCAAGUCCUCAUGGCCCUUAUGGGCUGGGCUACACACGUGCUACAAUGGCGAUGACAAUGGGCAGCAACCUCGCGAGGGGGAGCUAAUCCUAAAAAGUCGUCUCAGUUCGGAUUGUUCUCUGCAACUCGAGAGCAUGAAGUCGGAAUCGCUAGUAAUCGUGGAUCAGCAUGCCACGGUGAAUACGUUCCCGGGCCUU
rnacentral:rRNA from 1 species